GCAGCCGGGGCAUUAGCGGGGCCCUGUAACCUGCAGUCCGCUACAGCAGGGGUGAUGCCGAUCCGAGGGGCAGAUCUGAUGGAGCCGCCCCCUUCAAGUGGCGUUGACGUCCGGGUCUUACGCAACAGGAAUCCGUGAAUCGUGUCAGGGUGGGAACACAGCAGCACUAAGCGGAAGCUCUUGUGUGUCGUGAGGGUGCCUGGACCGAGCAAACUGUCGGGGUAACGUCUGUUGGUGAUGUUUCAGAGUGAGGCGCACG
rnacentral:SRP_RNA from 1 species